ACUUUACCACUGAGCCACAACCCCAACCCCCUGUAUCCAUCUUUGAAAGAGAGGAUAAUGCAGAAGCCAAACAGGUGUUCACAUGUCUCAUCUACUCUUACUGGUUUUUAAUCCCAUUUUUCUCAUCCUUUAAUCUCCUUUCCAUGUUCCAAGAAGAAAUUCUGAGUCUAAUGGACCACAUAAGAGCAUCCAGGUCUUCAAGCUGUGUUCAAUGCAAAAAUAUUUCCCAGAGACCUAAAUACUGCUUGAUUCUUAGGGAAAAUUAUUAGCAUAUAGAAGCCUCCUAGUUUUUUAGGGUUCAGAGAUACUUCUAGAAGAAAGGCUCUAUGUAACUAAUACCAUAGUCCCAAAGUAGACAAAUUACAAAGUGAAAUCUCUUUAGAUGGCUUGCACUGGUUUGUUUAAUUUCUUGUUAAUUUAUUUGGAGAGAACAGCUCACCCUUUUUUUUCAUGGAAGCUGGCUAGGUAGGACAUAUUAGGCUGGCAAUAUCAUUGACCUAUUUGAUUCCAGAAGGAGGUUAGGAGUGCUGAGCUAAAUUGGAACUCCUAAAAAGGAUUAAGUCCUAGAGAAAGAUGAUGGACACACUGACUGAAAAUCAUUCACAAGCAACGAUUGGGAAGACUCACCCCCUGGAAUGGUUGUUGAUAUUGAUCAAAGUCAGCUAUGUUUAUUGACUUAACUCAACAAACAAGUCACAUAUUGUUACUAUGACAUCAGAAUCCUACUCCCUGUUCAAUAACAAUGGCCAGGGUGUAAAUCAUGAGGGGGAUGGGCAGGCCCAGCAGGAGGCAGAGAAGGGAACUUCUGGGCACUGAGCAGAUUACCAGAAUCACUUUCCUUAUUCCAAGAGCCCUCACACUCCAGGCUUCAGUUAUUAAUGUCUUUUCCCUUAAAGUUGACUAAGCAUCAGUACCUGAUUGACCAGGAAGUAUCAACUGCCGGCAGAGCGCUCUACUAAAUGUCAUAAGGAAAGAAAAUCAUUCUUCUGAAGAGAAUGUCCUUUUUAUCCCCGCUGAACAUUUGGUACAGAGAUGGGGUUAGUUAGGGACCAAAGAAAUCAGACUUCACGCAGAGGUCAAAAGGAACCUCAAGUUCUCCUAGGCUGGUGCCCCCAUUGAUCGGUGAGUUAUUUCUCCAGCUUCGCCUACAGGUGCCCAUUCUGUUUGGGGUUUAUUCUAUCUGGAAAUGGAGAUCCAUGCUGUCUGGGGUGGACAGUGGCCUCUGCCGGGGACAGCUGUUUUUCUGAGAGUCAGGACGAGGAGGGUCACAAGGGGAAACUCAGGCUGCUCCUUGGUGAGCUCUGGAGCCCUGGAGUCUCCGCCUCCAUGAACUUGAACCUCACGAAGGCUUCCUCCGCAAGUCUUGCACCUCUGGCUGAAAAGCUACUCUUCCCUCAGACUUGUGUUGGUUUAGGCAUCUCGACUUUAAACAAAAGCCCUUGUUCAUUGGAGUGGUUCAUCCAUUUGGGAUUUUAUUUCCAUUUUGUUAUUCAUUUGUUCAUUUAAUAAACGUGUAUUGAGCCAUUUUUGUCUCUCCUUGUAGGAAAUUGAGGGCCGAGAGCUCAGGCUAUAUACUCAGCCACAAUCAAUGACUUAAUGAUGAAUGGACAUCUCCUGACUCAAAAUUCCAUGGCAACAAGAAACGGAUAGCACCAGGAUGACAGGGUGUGGAGAGGACACAGAGGGGCAUGCACUGAGAUUCUAUAGCAUGCCAGGCCGAGCACCAGACCCUCUCCAUGUAGCACCCCACUUAAUUUUCAGAACCAUCCUGUGACAAAUGGAAUAUGGUUUCCAUUUUACAGAUAAGGAAAUUGAGGCUCAGAGAUGUUAAAUAACUUGCCCAAGGUCAUCAUCAGUCAUCUAGCUGACCAAUGUCAGAGUGGGGGUGUGUGUCUGUUCUUCUUUGUUUUGGUUUGGUUAUGGGAAUUGAUAGAGAUGGGAAUUGUUAGAGAUGGGUAUUGAACCCUGUUCUUUCUGACUCAAAAACCAAUAAACUAUAUUGCUUCCCAUGCUCCAAGCAAAAGUAACUGAGCAUCUAAAUGCCAUUUAAUUCCAAUCAUCUCUGCGCUGAUUUUCAUGCACUUCAAGGAAUAGCCUUUAAUAUUGUUCAUUGAUCUUGAGAUCCUAGCAGUCUGUGUAAAAAAAAAAAAAAUUUAAAUCCUUCUUCAAGUAACGCCUGUAUUAUUACCUAGUUAUGUUACUGAAGAGAAGUAAACAAAAAGUGGGACAGAAGGAGAUUACUAGAUUUUCUCUGAUCUCUGACCUCCUGGUACAUCUGCUGUGAACUUUUUGUUAUGAGCCUCUGUCAUAGAUCUCUACAGAGGGUCACCUACACUUGGGGUCCUCUUCCUCUUCUAUGUGAUGGUACUUCAUGUUGUUUGCAUUGGCUGUCGAUCUUUCUAGUCAUAGCAUAGUUGGAUCUGUGGCUUCUGAUUAAAGCUGGCAGAUGAGUCACAUGGUUCGUAACUUCUCCCUCUCUAAACUCAUCCUGUGUGACAGUAAAUGAAUUAAUAAAAUCACUAAACUACCCGGGAGAAAGAACAGA